rnacentral:rRNA from 1 species
GGGGAAUAUUGGACAAUGGGGGCAACCCUGAUCCAGCAAUGCCGCGUGCGUGAAGAAGGCCUUCGGGUUGUAAAGCACUUUUAUCGGGAACGAAACAUUGUCGGCCAAUACCCGGCAAGACUGACGGUACCCGAGGAAUAAGCACCGGCUAACUCCGUGCCAGCAGCCGCGGUAAUACGGAGGGUGCAAGCGUUAAUCGGAAUUACUGGGCGUAAAGCGUGCGCAGGCGGUUUGUUAAGUCUGCUGUGAAAUCCCCGAGCUCAACUUGGGAAUUGCAGUGGAUACUGGCAAGCUGGAGUACGGUAGAGGAAGGUGGAAUUCCCGGUGUAGCAGUGAAAUGCGUAGAGAUCGGGAGGAACACCAGUGGCGAAGGCGGCCUUCUGGACCAGUACUGACGCUCAUGCACGAAAGCGUGGGGAGCAAACA